UAAAGCUGAAUACUUUUUUCAAUAUUAUGCAUACCACAGAACAAAAUCAAAAUACCAGAGGUUCAAAAGACAAAAUACUAUGUCAUUUUGUUGCAACAUGUCUCUUUUAGCCUAGUUGUGUAGAGAUAAAAUGUCUCCCUAAAUCUAGGUUGGUGUGUGUGUGUUUGAGAUAAAUUAUCUCCUGUAUCAAAAACACUACACCUUCAAUAUUUCAUAACCAGUACUGCAUUUUAAAUAAUAGGCAUCAAAGAAAUUUGAAAUACCUGAGAUCUCAAUACAGGCAUGGUGUCUAAUAAAAGUAACUGGCCUCCAUUGAAGGUGAUAUUUUUAGAAAAGUCCUCAGAAAGAGGUUUUGUUAAUGUACAUCAAUUUCAUUCAAAUAAUACUUGUUGAGAGACACCUGUUUCAUUAUUAUAAAUAGCAUUAAUUGUUAGCGUUAAGAAACAUAGCAGACCUAUUUGCGUAUAUAAUAUGUUUUUGUCUCCAUAGGCCAACUCGAAGCAGUCGAAAAUGCUGGGAUUGGCACAAACCAUGAAAAACGAACAGCCACAGUCAGAACACCUUGGAGCUAGGCUGAAGAAGACGUGGUAGAAAAUGGCCUUAAAAAGUGUUUUAAGCUUAAUACUCCACCAAAAAUAAGUUAGAAUGUCUUGAACUUAUAAAGAAGUAUCCAAUUCUUGCCAGGCGAUCAAGGACAAUGGUGAAAGGGUACAUUCGAACAAGGCAACUGGCCUUGCAAUAGGCUCAUCAAAAAGCAAACAAUUAAACAAAUAGAUACUUUAAAUUAUAGAAUAGACUAUAUUGCAUUUUGAUUUAAGCUUUAUAUCUGAAUACCAUCAGUGAUUGACAUUUUCUUUGGAUAUUGUUCUAUUUUUAUUUAUUUUUUAACAAUUAAAAAUUUGAAAUUGAAUAUGGUAAUAACUUGUCCUCAAUUGGAGGUGAUUUUGCUAGAAUUGUCCAUGAUGUUUGUGGUCAUUUACACUGCAGUGUAUUCAAUUGUUUUUUUGUUCCAUGGUAAAUAAUGGUGUGUGGUAUUGUUUUGUAUUGAAUGCUUCUGUCACUUCUCAGUGAUGUGAUGUUUUUCGUGUUGUUGGAUAAAUUGAUGAAAUGCAAAUGAAAUAUCAUCAUGUAUGAACAUGUCAAACAAAAAUGUAUUAACUUUCUUCUGUUUGCUAUCAAAACGUUAAGUAUUUGUUUGGUUGAAUUGUAUCUAGAGCCAAUGAAUGAAGAUUUUUUUUAUUACUGAAAUUUGAUAUGCAUUAAUUUUUGUAAAAGAAUUUUUUUCAGAUAAAAGUAUCUUGGUAUUGUGAUAUGCCUUGGCACCUGUCAGGGCUGUGGGCAUCAUACAGUCUUUUACCUAGGACAGUAACUAAAUCACUUCAUAUUUAAAUAAAACUUGGUUAAGAUGUUGCCAGGGACAAUAUGCAUGUGUACAUCAAGGGGCAUAACUCUGGCUUUAGUUUGUAUUGAGUUAUGCCUCAUUUUCGAAGGAGAAAAAAACAGACGAGCGCUGGUGUUCUCUUCAUGGCGCUCUUGUUGACCUUGGCAAGAUCAAGGUUCAAUGUUGAAAUAAGAUAUGCCUUGUAAGUUAUUUUAACUAACAGGGGAAAGUCUGACAAUCAAGUUUAGACUUUAAUAGCUUUAAUAGUGAUUGUUGUGUAAAGUGGACUUUCAACAUAUUUUAUCAUAUUAAUAGAAGUAUGAAUUCUGCUCUUUGGAGCUAAAAAUUAUCUACUUUCCGGCUAUUGAUAAUUAUGUACUUAUUUCACAUAUCCGAGCAUGUUAUGUAUCCGAGGUUCUUUUGACAUGUAUUUGUAUCCAUUUGUCUACAUUAUACUGAUUACUUAGUAUUGAUAUAUUCGUAUUUAAUACCUGUCUUGUAAUGAUCUGCUAUAUAAAUAUAUCCAUCCAUCUGAAGUUUCUGUUAAUUGACACUUAACUAUUACAGUAUUACAAUCGGACUAAUAAAAUACUUCUGAAAACUUUA